GGCUUGUUGGUCUAGGGAUAUGAUUCUCGCUUACGGUGCGAGAGCUCCCGGGUUCAAAUCCUGGAUGAACCC
rnacentral:tRNA from 1 species